AGCUAGAUCCCAAGUGGUAACCUCCUGUGAACUCCGCCAGGGUCGGAAGACAGCAACGGUAGCAGAAAGGUUGGGUGCUUGGGUAAUCUAGCUAUC
rnacentral:SRP_RNA from 1 species